rnacentral:rRNA from 1 species
CACGCCCUAAACCGAAUGCGCGUUAGGUGUAUCGGUGACCACGAGUCACCGAGGUGCCGAAGGGAAACCGUGAAACGUGCCGCCUGGGAAGUACGGUCGCAAGGCUGAAACUUAAAGGAAUUGGCGGGGGGAGGCACCACAACGGGUGGAGCCUGCGGUUUAAUUUGGACUCAACGCCGGGAAGCUUACCGGAUAAGACAGCGGAAUGAUUGCCGGGCUGAAGACCCUGCAUGACCAGCUGAGAGGUGGUGCAUGCGUAGUCGUGU